GCCUCCAUAGCUCAAUGGUAGAGCAGCGGACUCUUAAUCCGUUGGUUGAAGGUUCAAGUCCUUCUGGGGGUAC
rnacentral:tRNA from 1 species